UACGUAGGGUGCAGGCGUUAAUCGGAAUUACUGGGCGUAAAGCGUGCGCAGGCGGUUUGCUAAGACAGGUGUGAAAUCCCCGGGCUUAACCUGGGAACUGCGUCCGAUACUGGCAGGCUUGAAUUCGGGAGAGGGAUGCGGAAUUCCAGGUGUAGCGGUGAAAUGCGUAGAUAUCUGGAGGAACACCGGUGGCGAAGGCGGCAUCCUGGACCGAUAUUGACGCUGAGGCGCGAAAGCCAGGGGAGCAAACGGG
rnacentral:rRNA from 1 species